CUACGGGCGGCAGCAGUGGGGAAUAUUGGACAAUGGGGGAAACCCUGAUCCAGCAAUGCCGCGUGUGUGAAGAAGGCCUGCGGGUUGUAAAGCACUUUCGGUUGGGAGGACUGCUUCUAGCACUAAUAUUGUUGGAAGUUGACGUUACCUUCAGAGGAAGCACCGGCUAACUCCGUGCCAGCAGGCGCGGUAAUACGGAGGGUGCAAGCGUUAAUCGGAAUUACUGGGCGUAAAGCGCGCGUAGGCGGCUAGAUCAGUCGGGUGUGAAAGCCCCGGGCUUAACCUGGGAACUGCAUCCGAUACUGUCUAGCUUGAGUACAGGAGAGGAGAGUGGAAUUCCACAUGUAGCGGUGAAAUGCGUAGAUAUGUGGAGGAACACCAAUGGCGAAGGCAGCUCUCUGGCCUGAUACUGACGCUGAGGUGCGAAAGCGUGGGGAGCAAACAGGAUUAGAUACCCCCGUAGUC
rnacentral:rRNA from 1 species